rnacentral:rRNA from 1 species
AACGUAGGUGGCAAGCGUUAUCCGGAUUUACUGGGCGUAAAGGGUGUGCAGGCGGGAGAACAAGUGGGGUAUGAAAUCGCCCGGCUUAACCGGGCGGGGUUAUGCCAGACUGUUUUUCUAGAGGACGAGAGAGGGGCAUGGAAUUCCGGGUGUAGUGGUGAAAUGCGUAGAGAUCCGGAGGAACCCCAGAGGCGAAGGCGGUGCCCUGGCUCGUACCUGACGCUCAGACACGAAAGCAUGGGGAGCGAACGGG